rnacentral:rRNA from 1 species
AGAGCGAACGCUGGCGGCAGGCCUAACACAUGCAAGUCGAACGGACUCUUCGGAGUUAGUGGCGGACGGGUGAGUAACACGUGGGAACGUGCCUUUAGGUUCGGAAUAGCUCCUGGAAACGGGUGGUAAUGCCGAGUGUGCCCUUCGGGGGAAAGAUUUAUCGCCUUUAGAGCGGCCCGCGUCUGAUUAGCUAGUUGGUGAGGUAAAGGCUCACCAAGGCUACGAUCAGUAGCUGGUCUGAGAGGAUGACCAGCCACAUUGGGACUGAGACACGGCCCAAACUCCUACGGGAGCAGCAGUGGGAAUCUGCGCAAGUGGGCAAGCCUGGACGCAGCCAUGCCGCGUGAAUGAUGAAGGUCUUAGGAUUGUAAAAUUCUUUCAGUAGGGACGAGUAAUAGACGGUACCUACAGAAGAACGCCCGGCUAACGUUCGUAGCCAGCACGCCGGAC